CGAGCGACAGAUAAGGAGCUUGCUCCUUUGACGUUAGCGGCGGACGGGUGAGUAACACGUGGGUAACCUACCUAUAAGACUGGGAUAACUUCGGGAAACCGGAGCUAAUACCGGAUAACAUUUGGAACCGCAUGGUUCUAAAGUGAAAGAUGGUUUUGCUAUCACUUAUAGAUGGACCCGCGCCGUAUUAGCUAGUUGGUAAGGUAACGGCUUACCAAGGCGACGAUACGUAGCCGACCUGAGAGGGUGAUCGGCCACACUGGAACUGAGACACGGUCCAGACUCCUACGGGAGGCAGCAGUAGGGAAUCUUCCGCAAUGGGCGAAAGCCUGACGGAGCAACGCCGCGUGAGUGAUGAAGGGUUUCGGCUCGUAAAACUCUGUUAUUAGGGAAGAACAAACGUGUAAGUAACUGUGCACGUCUUGACGGUACCUAAUCAGAAAGCCACGGCUAACUACGUGCCAGCAGCCGCGGUAAUACGUAGGUGGCAAGCGUUAUCCGGAAUUAUUGGGCGUAAAGCGCGCGUAGGCGGUUUCUUAAGUCUGAUGUGAAAGCCCACGGCUCAACCGUGGAGGGUCAUUGGAAACUGGGAAACUUGAGUGCAGAAGAGGAAAGUGGAAUUCCAUGUGUAGCGGUGAAAUGCGCAGAGAUAUGGAGGAACACCAGUGGCGAAGGCGACUUUCUGGUCUGUAACUGACGCUGAUGUGCGAAAGCGUGGGGAUCAAACAGGAUUAGAUACCCUGGUAGUCCACGCCGUAAACGAUGAGUGCUAAGUGUUAGGGGGUUUCCGCCCCUUAGUGCUGCAGCUAACGCAUUAAGCACUCCGCCUGGGGAGUACGACCGCAAGGUUGAAACUCAAAGGAAUUGACGGGGACCCGCACAAGCGGUGGAGCAUGUGGUUUAAUUCGAAGCAACGCGAAGAACCUUACCAAAUCUUGACAUCCUUUGAAAACUCUAGAGAUAGAGCCUUCCCCUUCGGGGGACAAAGUGACAGGUGGUGCAUGGUUGUCGUCAGCUCGUGUCGUGAGAUGUUGGGUUAAGUCCCGCAACGAGCGCAACCCUUAAGCUUAGUUGCCAUCAUUAAGUUGGGCACUCUAGGUUGACUGCCGGUGACAAACCGGAGGAAGGUGGGGAUGACGUCAAAUCAUCAUGCCCCUUAUGAUUUGGGCUACACACGUGCUACAAUGGACAAUACAAAGGGCAGCUAAACCGCGAGGUCAUGCAAAUCCCAUAAAGUUGUUCUCAGUUCGGAUUGUAGUCUGCAACUCGACUACAUGAAGCUGGAAUCGCUAGUAAUCGUAGAUCAGCAUGCUACGGUGAAUACGUUCCCGGGUCUUGUACACACCGCCCGUCACACCACGAGAGUUUGUAACACCCGAAGCCGGUGGAGUAAC
rnacentral:rRNA from 1 species